rnacentral:rRNA from 1 species
AAUGCUUGGGAAUAUGCCUUAUGGUGGGGGACAACAGUUGGAAACGACUGCUAAUACCGCAUAACGUCUACGGACCAAAGGGGGGAAUUCAUUUAUGAACCUCUCGCCAUUUGAUUAGCCCAAGUGAGAUUAGCUAGUUGGUGAGAUAAAGGCUCACCAAGGCGACGAUCUCUAGCUGGUUUGAGAGGAUGAUCAGCCACACUGGGACUGAGACACGGCCCAG